CCUACGGGUGGCAGCAGUGAGGAAUAUUGGUCAAUGGGCGCGAGCCUGAACCAGCCAAGUCGCGUGAGGGAUUACUGCCCUACGGGUUGUAAACUUCUUUUAUAAAGGAGUAAGGUCAGGCACGUGUGCCUUUUUGUAUGUACUUUGUGAAUAAAGAUCGGCUAACUCCGGGCCAGCCGCCGCGGUAAUACGGAGGGUCCGAGCGGUAUCCGGAUUUAUUGGGUUUAAAGGGAUCGUAGAUGGGUUGUUAAGUCAGGUGUGAAAGUUUGCGGCUCAACCGUAAAAUUGCAAUUGAUACUGGCAGUCUUGAGUACAGUUGAGGUAGGCGGAAUGCGUGGUGUAGCGGUGAAAUGCAGAGAUAUCACGAAGAACUCCGAUUGCGAAGGCAGCUUACUAACCUGCCACUGACAUUGAGGCACGAAAGUGUGGGUAUCAAACAGGAUUAGAUACCCUUGUAGUC
rnacentral:rRNA from 1 species